AUCCCAAGGUGAGGGUAUUUCUGUAGUAACCCUUUAAAUCUUUCCUAUGUUUCAUAUAGGAAUGUUUCAUCCAAUUGCUGAAAAGUAGUGAUCUCAUUCCGCAACUU
rfam:Gossypium hirsutum cultivar TM-1 chromosome 12, whole genome shotgun sequence